GAUGAACGCUGGCGGCGUGCCUAAUACAUGCAAGUCGAGCGAACAGACGAGGAGCUUGCUCCUUUGACGUUAGCGGCGGACGGGUGAGUAACACGCAGGUAACCUACCUAUAAGACUGGGAUAACUUCGGGAAACCGGAGCUAAUACCGGAUAAUAUUUCGAACCGCAUGGUUCGAUAGUGAAAGAUGGCUUUGCUAUCCCUUAUAGAUGGACCUGCGCCGUAUUAGCUAGUUGGUAAGGUAACGGCUUACCAAGGCAACGAUACGUAGCCGACCUGAGAGGGUGAUCGGCCACACUGGAACUGAGACACGGUCCAGACUCCUACGGGAGGCAGCAGUAGGGAAUCUUCCGCAAUGGGCGAAAGCCUGACGGAGCAACGCCGCGUGAGUGAUGAAGGUCUUCGGAUCGUAAAACUCUGUUAUUAGGGAAGAACAAACGUGUAAGUAACUGUGCACGUCUUGACGGUACCUAAUCAGAAAGCCACGGCUAACUACGUG
rnacentral:rRNA from 1 species